CUACGGGGUGCUCCAGUGAGGAAUUUUGCGCAAUGGGGGAAACCCUGACGCAGCAACGCCGCGUGAGCGAAGAAGGCCCUCGGGUCGUAAAGCUCUGUCAAGUGGGAAAAAAAUUUUUUGAUCAAUAGUCAAAAGACUUGAUGGUACCACUGGAGGAAGCACCGGCUAACUCCGUGCCAGCAGCCGCGGUAAUACGGAGGGUGCAACGCGUUGUUCGGAUUUACUGGGCGUAAAGAGCGUGUAGGCGGUUUAGCAAGUCAGAUGUGAAAGCCCUGGGCUCAACCCGGGAAGUGCAUUUGAAACUGCUUCACUAGAGUAUGGGAGAGGAGAUUGGAAUUCCUGGUGUAGAGGUGAAAUUCGUAGAUAUCAGGAGGAACACCCGUGGCGAAGGCGAUUCUCUGGACCAAUACUGACGCUGAGACGCGAAAGCGUGGGGAGCAAACAGGAUUAGAUACCCCGGUAGUC
rnacentral:rRNA from 1 species